rnacentral:rRNA from 1 species
CGACAGCCUGACGGAGCAAUGCCGCGUGAAGGAUGAAGGCCUAUGGGUUGUAAACUUCUUUUCUCAGAGAAGAAGCAUUGACGGUAUCUGAGGAAUAAGCAUCGGCUAACUCUGUGCCAGCAGCCGCGGUAAGACAGAGGAUGCAAGCGUUAUCCGGAAUGAUUGGGCGUAAAGCGUCUGUAGGUGGCUUAAAAAGUCUCCUGUCAAAGAUCAGGGCUUAACCCUGGGCCGGCAGGAGAAACUUUUAGGCUAGAGUUUGGUAGGGGCAGAGGGAAUUCCCGGUGGAGCGGUGAAAUGCGUAGAGAUCGGGAGGAACACCAAAGGCGAAAGCACUCUGCUGGGCCAUAACUGACACUGAGAGACGAAAGCGAGGGGAGCA